rnacentral:rRNA from 1 species
UACGUAGGGGGCAAGCGUUGUCCGGAAUCAUUGGGCGUAAAGAGCGUGUAGGCGGCCAGAUAAGUCCGCUGUGAAAUCUCGAAGGCUCAACUUCGAGCUGUCGGUGGAAACUGUCUGGCUAGAGUCCGGAAGAGGAGAAUGGAAUUCCUGGUGUAGCGGUGAAAUGCGCGAUAUCAGGAAGAACACCCGUGGCGAAAGGCGGUUCUC